AGGGCCCGGCUGGUUAGAGGUGGGCUCCGCCCAGCCAGGCUGCUGCAGCAGACGCCGGGGCUGGGGCCUCCUCCUUCCCGGAAGGGGCUGGGAGGCUGGCUGGGCGGAUCGCAGGGGCGUGACUGGGCCCCGAGGGGCAGCUUUGGUUUCCCCAGUCUCCCGGCAGUGGCGUGUCCCCCGCCUGAGUCCUGAAGAUGUGCCCAGCUAACUCCCUGAAGAAACGCUUCCUGAAACUGAAUGUUCACAUCAAGCCCGGGCGCUCAGCGGCGAUUUGAGAUGACUUUCCAUCCCCUCGCAGCAGCAGGCCGGAAUCGGGUCCCCGAACAAACGCAGGCUCACUCGAAAAGGGGACCGCAGGAGCCAAGGUGCUCCCGAGCGGGGUCAGACUGGGCCAGCGCCGGGGCGCGAGGACCCCUGGGGCUCCUGCUUUCCCUCCGGGCACCCAAGGGUUCCACUCCUUGGCGCCAAGGGUGGUCCCUGGAGCGAUGGUCCCUGUGCGGGGCUUCGGCAGAUGGCUGCCCGUCAGCAGAGGCCAAGUGCAAAACAGGGACAAAGAAAAGCGGUGAUAGUCCCAGACCCCACGUGACUCCAGGCUGCGAUGCCGCGGCACUCAGAGAAGCCCUCUGCCUGAGGGACGGUGGCGCAGCAAUGCCACGACCUGCAGAAGUGAAACGGGAACCGCCAGGCUCGGUUGUGGGGAGAGAGUCUGGCCGGGCCUGAGUUGGCUCUCACUGGUGCCCCAAGGGCAGGCUAGAAGGCCCUGUGCCAUCCCCGCCGGUUCUAAACGCACCUCCUCCGAAGAGCAGGGAUCCGGGGCCGUUGGCUGGGUGUGCACACGUGGCCCUGCAUGUUGCCGGCAGCUGGAUGGGUCGUUCCUCCCUGGGGAUCUCGUGGCUCCACGGAGGACAGAGGCGAGCAGGCAGAAGUGCCGGCCACGCUCCCAGCUGCGCGGUUCACCCUCUGCUGGUUGGCUGUGAGCCCUGGAGCCAGUCGCUUCACCUCUGUUUGUUUCCCCAUCUGUAAAAUGGGCGGUGAAUGAGGCAGUAGGUGAACACACUUUAAGAAUCCCUUAGUUAGAAGGGAUCAAAGCUCAGAGAGUGGCCUCCUCGUUGCCAUCCCCAAAACGCUCAAGACAUCACCUUGAAGGGUCCGAAAAUGUGUCAUUUUUAAAUCACUGUCAUCUUCUUCACUGAACAGCCAUCUAAGUUCUAACUCACCCACUCCUUCUGCCUGGAAUGUAAAAGGGACCCACAGCCAUUUAAUUUUCUCCUGAACUGUUUCUGGGACCAAACACAAAACGUAGCAAGGAAAACAAGUCCCCUCACCCCCGUGUGGACCUGAGGCUCCAGGUCGGGGCAAGGCAGGCAAAAUACUCUCUUGGGGAGGAACGGGCCCUCUUUCUGAAAUUGCCUUACAAAGCCAGAGCGGGCAGGGCACCAGGCAGCAAUCCUAACGGCUUUUCAGGUGCUGGGCCCUUCCAGCAAAAUGCAUUUUGCUUUGAGGCAGGGCCUGUUACCGCAAGGGCAGAGGCAGGCGUGCAGGACAGUCAUUCCUACCCGAAUCCCCGCCCAAGUUCCCGGCUCACCUUCACCUGGGUUCCGGUGCCCAGGGCUUUUACUUUUCUAAGAAUCAAAAACCUGUGGACUUGAAGCCAUCUCUCUGUCCCCGAGCAGUGCAUGAUGAGACGUGAGUGCCAGGUCCUGUCUGUCCUGGCAGCCCAAGCCAGCCCAGCUGGGCCUGCUGGGAAGUCCGAUGUGGGAGAGGGCAGUGCAGUUUCCUGCAAACUGGAGACCAGGGCAGGGUCCUCCCAGCUGUUCAGGGCCACAUCCUAGAACCUGCAACAAUCUGUCUUUACGGCCACACUCCUGGCACAUGGAGAUUCCCAGGCCAGGGAUUGAAUCCCAGCCACAGAUGCAACCUACAGUGCAGCUGUGACAAUGAGGGAUCCUUUAACCCACUGUGCCCAGGCAGGAGCCAACCUGCAUCUCAGCAACCUGAGCCCCAGCAGUGGGAUUCUUAACCCACUGUGCCACAGCGGGAACUCUCCUCCCUGCUGCUUUGAGGCAGGGAGUUUAAGGCACUUCUAGGAAACCAAGUCCACAGAGAGUUUUUAUUAAAAAACACCGGCCAUGCGAAAUACGUUUAAGGCAAGUGGGCCGAUUCCGUGACUAGAGGUCAGUGUGAUUAGCUGUGCAGGGGGAAGAGAGGCACUGAGUUACCUGCUUCCUUGCUCAGUCCUGCUGGGACAGCUGCCAACUGCUGUAUUUGCUAAAACAAAACCUCUUUAAAAUAGCUACUCGUGUUUAAAACUUUUAAAUCACUAGCAUUUUUCUACUAUAUCCCUGAGUGCACCUGAAAGUCAGGGAUGUAAGCCCUUCAGUGUGCAGCGGACGUGACAGUCGCAGAAAGGGGCCCCUGCUUCUCUCGGGGCGGAGCGGGCCGCUGAGCUGGCCCCCCAGGCCAAGCGGAGGCGGCUUUCGAGGCUUUAAGGUCCGACUCCGACUCACAAGCAGGGACGGCGCUGGGGAGGAAUCUGCGACGUCUCCGGGGCACCUGUUCCCGCUCAAACCAGAGUUGAAUCCAGCUUCCUCCAGGGCGCACGUCGGCCUUGGGCACAGCUGCCGGGCCACACCGGGGAGGAUGCAGUCUCGGGGUGCUCUCAUCACCUGAGCACGGCUACAGGAGGGCAGUGCCACUACCUCCUGCCGUUUCUAGGACCACAGGAGCGGGACAGGCCACAACUCCAGGGCCCAGCCCGCACUUGGCUGCGUACCGCCCCUCUGCUGAGCUCCUGGGAAGGCCACCUGCCAGUGCGACCGGUCACUUGGGUUGUCCUGCUCACACCAGUGCCACCUCCUUCAGCAAAUGUUUUCGAGGUUCAACCGCAGCGGUGGCCACGCGCUGUUUACAGACGGCAAACAGAGGCGCUUGCGGCACGUGUUCAGUGCCCGGGGCCGCGGAGUGGGCAGCUGGUCCUCCUCCAAACGAAACGGUCCUGACAUCAGCGCUGACGUGAGACACGAGGGCCGCCUCAGCUGCGAAAAUCUCUCCAGGCUUGGGGGCGCUGGCUUUGCCUGUGCCUUUGGGGAUGACACCACGGUAUCUCUGCGCUCUGCCGCCCACGAGGUGCUUGCAAAGGGGGAAGCUGUGUCCGUGACUGAGACAAAGUGCUCAGGCGGACACAGGGCUGUGAGCACCUGCCCCGGCAUCAAGACGCAGGUUCCUUUUCCACCCACGCCAAGGAAUCAUUUAAGGAUGUCAGUUCAGCUGCUAACACCCCCUCUUUCUAGAUCCUUCUGCACCUUAUAAAGGGGGAUCAACAGGUAACUGGUUGCACCACAGGUGGGUGAUUUCCUAAGAUUAUCUUCAGAGAUGUAAUAUGAAAACAUUUAAAAAUCAAUGGCUUUUUUUGGGGGGGGUAGGGUGCCCAAGAAUGAGUGAGGCUCAACCAGCAUCCCUGCUGAGCAUGCUAGACCGAAGGGGAAAGCAACGCUCUUUCCAGGGCCGGUCCCCCGCCCUCUGAAGUGCCCCUGCCCCUGCGCGGAAGGCUGAGGGGGGGGCCGUCACCAGUUAACCGGCCGCCUGCCCUCACGUGACGCUCCUCUACAACUGCAGGGCUGAGGACCUGCAGCCAAGACCCUCUGGCCUGCAAAGCCAGCAACAGCAGUCUCUGGUCUCUACGGAAGAGGUCUGCUGACCUCACUCCAGAGAUCACAGCGUCAGUAGUUGAGUCUGCGAUUUUAAAAGAAAAAAGAACCUACUCCCUGCUUUUACAUUAUUUCUUUCUUUCUUUCUUUAACUUACUGAGAAACUAUUUUUACAGGUGUUCCCAUGGUGGCUCAGGGGAAACUAGUCUCACUAGCAUCCAGGAGGACACGGGUUCGAUCCCUGGCCUCACUCGGCGGGUUAAGGAUCCGGUGUUGCCAUGACCUGUGGUACAGGUCACAGACGUGGCUUGGAUCCAGCGUUGCUGCGGUGUAGGCCAGCAGCUAACAGCUCCGAUUCAACCCCUAGCCUGGGAACCUCCAUAUGCUGCAGGUGCGGCCCUAAAAAGACACACAC
rnacentral:lncRNA from 1 species